UACGAAGGGGGCUAGCGUUGCUCGGAAUCACUGGGCGUAAAGGGUGCGUAGGCGGGUCUUUAAGUCAGGGGUGAAAUCCUGGAGCUCAACUCCAGAACUGCCUUUGAUACUGAAGAUCUUGAGUUCGGGAGAGGUGAGUGGAACUGCGAGUGUAGAGGUGAAAUUCGUAGAUAUUCGCAAGAACACCAGUGGCGAAGGCGGCUCACUGGCCCGAUACUGACGCUGAGGCACGGAAAGCGUGGGAGCAACAGG
rnacentral:rRNA from 1 species